rnacentral:rRNA from 1 species
GACGAACGCUGGCGGCAUGCCUAAUACAUGCAAGUCGAGCGAACGGAUGAAGUGCUUGCACUUCUGACGUUAGCGGCGAACGGGUGAGUAACACGUAAGGAAUCUACCUAUAAGCGGGGGAUAACAUUCGGAAACGGGUGCUAAUACCGCAUAAUAUCUUCUUCCGCAUGGAAGAAGAUUGAAAGACGGCUCUGCUGUCACUUAUAGAUGACCUUGCGGUGCAUUAGUUAGUUGGUGGGGUAAUGGCCUACCAAGACGAUGAUGCAUAGCCGACCUGGGAGGGUGAUCGGCCACAUUGGGACUGAGACACGGCCCAAACUCCUACGGGAGGCAGCAGAAGGGAAUCUUCCGCAAUGGGCGAAAGCCUGACGGAGCAAUGCCGCGUGAGUGAAGAAGGCCUUCGGAUCGUAAAACUCUGUUAUAAGAGAAGAACAAAUUGUAGAGUAACUGCUACAGUCUUGACGGUAUCUUAUCAGAAAGCCACGGCUAACUACGUGCCAGCCGCCGCAGUAA